CCCCCGCGCGCACGCCCGUCGCGUAGUACCGGCACGUCACACCCGACCAGUCCCCACAUCACAAUAUACACCCAUAUCGCAAUAUAGCACGUGCUCUAUUCCACGUGAUACGCCGCAACCGCGACACGGACCCGAUACAAUUUAAAACGCCGCGUGCAACCUCAUCAGUGAUCGGCCGCGAAAAAACAAUCCCAGUUAAAAUUGAUAGUGUGAUAACAAAUAAUAAUAUGUUAUGUGACAAGAGACUAGUGCUUAUCGAAUAACUUGGGCGGCGGCGGCGACGGCGCCACGUCUACGUCAUGCUACUAGAGUGCGUCUGCCCACACCGGACGAGUAGAUCACAAUGCAGUUCGUUAGUACGCAUCGCCGCACACGCACACUACUGAAAGGCAAUUGCAAGAGUAGGCGUACCUCGACAUGCCACCUAAACCCCGCACCGGCGUGCUAGGAGCACUGCAAAGAGUAGCCCGCCCCCUUCUGUGACUAGCCAGGGCUCUAGCGCAAGGCACGGGAGGCGGAUU